AACAAGUCAUAAUCUUUUUGCUGGUGGAGGGUCUUGCCUGGAUGUUGAUGGCUGCUGACUGAUCAUGGUGGUGGUUUCUGAAGGUUGGGGUGACUGUGGCUAUUUCUUUU